rnacentral:tRNA from 1 species
GCAUUAGUGAUUCAGUGUAGAAUUCUUGCCUUUCAUGUGGGAGACCUGGGUUCGAUUCCCAGCCAGUGUA